ACAUUUUCUUGGUCAGUGCAUUAAAAAAUGU
rfam:Chelonia mydas contig262949, whole genome shotgun sequence.